UAACUGGAUAGUGAGUUCAGGUGUUAGAGGUUUAGACUUCAUUACUUCUUUGACAAACAGCACUCACCUGAACUUUCUAGCAAUUGAUGGAAAUAUGCUGGAAGGUGUGAUUCCAGAAACCAUUGGCAAUCUCUCCAAGGAUCUCUCAACACUAUACAUGGGACAGAAUCGUUUCAAUGGAAGCAUACCCUCCUCCAUUGGUCGUCUCAGUGGCUUGAAGUUGUUAAACUUAAGCUACAAUUCAAUCUCAGGAGAAAUCCCACAAGAGUUAGGCCAGUUAGAGGAACUACAAGAGCUAUCUCUGGCUGGGAAUGAGAUAUCAGGAGGUAUUCCAAGCAUACUUGGUAAUCUCCUGAAGUUAAACCUGGUUGAUUUGUCAAGAAAUAAACUUGUGGGGAGAAUACCUACCAGUUUUGGGAAUUUGCAAAACCUGCUUUACAUGGACUUAUCCAGCAACCAACUCAAUGGAAGCAUACCUAUGGAAAUCCUCAAUCUCCCAACUUUGAGCAAUGUUCUGAACUUGUCGAUGAACUUUUUGAGUGGACCAAUACCUGAAGUUGGCAGAUUGAGUAGUGUGGCCUCCAUUGACUUUUCUAACAACCAAUUGUAUGGUGGCAUCCCCAGCUCAUUCAGCAAUUGUCUCAGCUUGGAAAAACUGUUUUUGCCUCGGAAUCAGCUUUCAGGUCCCAUUCCAAAGGCUCUUGGAGAUGUGAGAGGCUUGGAAACUUUGGAUCUGUCCUCCAACCAACUCUCUGGAACCAUUCCUAUUGAACUUCAAAAUUUACACGGGCUUAAGCUCUUAAACCUCUCGUACAAUGAUAUAGAAGGAGCCAUUCCUGGUGCUGGAGUUUUCCAAAAUCUCUCUGCUGUCCAUUUAGAAGGCAAUAGAAAACUCUGCUUGCAUUUCUCAUGCAUGCCUCAUGGCCAAGGAAGAAAAAAUAUAAGACUUUACAUCAUGAUAGCCAUCACGGUAACAUUGAUACUAUGUCUCACUAUUGGCUUAUUACUAUAUAUCGAGAACAAAAAGGUGAAGGUAGCACCAGUUGCAGAAUUUGAACAGCUUAAACCUCAUGCACCAAUGAUCUCUUAUGAUGAGCUUCUUUUGGCAACUGAGGAGUUCAGCCAGGAAAACCUAUUAGGAGUUGGAAGCUUUGGCUCAGUUUAUAAAGGCCAUCUAAGUCAUGGAGCUACCGUUGCAGUGAAAGUUCUUGACACCCUAAGAACUGGCUCUUUGAAGAGUUUCUUUGCCGAAUGUGAGGCUAUGAAGAACUCAAGGCAUCGAAAUCUGGUUAAGCUGAUCACAUCAUGCUCUAGUAUUGACUUUAAAAACAAUGAUUUUCUGGCUCUGGUGUACGAGUACCUGUGCAAUGGUAGCUUGGAUGAUUGGAUCAAGGGGAGGAGAAAGCAUGAAAAGGGAAAUGGGUUAAACCUUAUGGAAAGACUGAACAUUGCUCUAGAUGUUGCUUGUGCAUUGGACUACCUCCACAAUGAUAGUGAAAUUCCAGUAGUGCACUGUGAUUUGAAGCCUAGCAACAUUCUAUUGGAUGAAGAUAUGACAGCAAAGGUUGGAGACUUUGGAUUGGCUAGGUUGCUGAUUCAAAGAUCAACUAGUCAAGUUUCCAUAAGCUCCACUCGUGUCCUUAGGGGUUCAAUUGGUUACAUACCUCCAGGUUAAUGCAUAUGCCAAUUUGUUUCUCUAUUCUUUCUUUAUGAACCAUUUAAUUUUAUGGUUAAAAUAUGAGUGUGAUCUCUAAUAAAUAUCCAGAUUUUGGUGUUGUUUUCUACUAAGUUAUAUUUUCACUUUUGCUUCUUGAAAAAACAAAAAAUUUAUUUUUGGUCUUUCACCUUUUUUUUAGUUCCUAUAAAUUCACAAACUUUGUAUUUGUUCCCUAAUAAAAAAAUUUAAUUCGUUAUUAGUUUCUUUGAAAAAGACCAAUAACAAAUAAAAACAAUUAUUAGGGAACAAAAUAAAAUUUAUUAAUUUAUCAUGAAAUAAAAAAAUAUGUAAAGGUCAAUAAUAAAAUUAUUGUGUUAUUAGGAACUCAACGCAAAAAUAAUUAUGAAGGAACAUAAAAUCUAGAUAUUUAUUAGGGAUCGAAAAUAUAUUUUACCCUAAUUUUAUUACAAAUUUUUAAACAUUCUUAAGUAAUUAGGACUGUUACUUGUCAAUGCAGAGUAUGGAUGGGGAGAGAAACCAUCUGCAGCUGGUGAUGUAUAUAGUUUUGGUAUAGUGUUACUAGAAAUGUUCUCUGGUAAAAGUCCAACAGAUGAGUGUUUCACAGGAGACCUAAGCAUAAGAAGAUGGGUGCAAUCAUCAUGUAAAGACAAGAUAGUGCAAGUGAUUGACCCUCAGUUACUAUCCCUCAUUUUUAAUGAUGACCCUUCUGAGGGAGAGGGGCCAAUUCUGCAACUUUAUUGUGUGGAUUCAAUUGUAGGAGUUGGCAUAGCUUGCACUACAAACAACCCAGAUGAACGCAUUGGCAUCAGAGAAGCUGUUCGUCGACUAAAAGCUGCUAGGGACUCUCUUUUGAAUUAGUCUGAUGAUGUGAGUCCUACACCUACUCGAGAUACCAAGUCUUUCUUCCAUGUUUUAAUAACAAGUUGAAACGUUGGGGUUGAAAUAUAAGCAAUGAAUGUAUAUUAUAAUCAUAUGACCAUGUAAUAAUGAUCGAACACUUUAUUUUUUUAGGCCAAAGAAUCGCUCUACUCAUGUCAUGUAUGGUAGGAAUUGACACGAAUUUCUGCCGCCAACCUUUAAAUAGGGUAUUAAUAAUAGAUUAUAGUAUAAUGUUCAUUUUUGCGGCUAAUUGUCACCUGUUAAACUUAUGUAUAUAUGACUGUAAAGAAUAAUGGUGGAUUUUUUAUGGCAUAUAUACUUAUUAUUGAGAACUGUAACAUCCUUUUCUUUUUCUAAUUUUUCUAUGAAAAAAAUUAUAUUUGAUAAAACUAUUCCUUUUUUCUAAUUUUUCUAUAAGAAAAUAUUUUGAUAAUUUUUUUUUUUGGCAAUUAUUCGUAGAAUUUCUUCUUUCAACUCAAUAAAGCAGUGGAGCUAUAAUAAGUUGAACCAAACAAAAUCUUCAAUUGUCUUCACGAUCAAGUGAUCGAUCGAGACAUAUUGGAGUGCAGCUCUUUAAUUUAGAUCACAGCUCCUUGUUUAAUCGAUCUUGAAUGCUUUAUAAUUACUGCAGUAUUUUUUAUAUUUUAUUAAGAAAUGCUUUGAUAAAAUGUUAGCAACUGGUGAGUGAAAAUGUUGCUCUUUUUGUAAUACAGAAUUCAGGUCCUCAAAUCUAGAAAGAUGUUGAGAGAGUUGAUCCGUGGCCAUACAUCUUAUGCGAACGAUGCAAUUUUUAUAAGUGACUGUAAAAUCAAGGUCUGUUACUUGGCAUUGUACUUGAAGUGCACUCCUUGUUUAUCUGGUGUCCAUAAGAGACGUACGUAUUUUUUCCUCGUUGCUUGAAGACUGCAUACAAUCUUUUAAGCCACCUCCUCCUUUAAGGGUGUGUCUUCAAAAAUUUACUAUUAUGGUUUUUUGCUAUUCAAUUUGCUUCUUAAGUAGUUUUUCACAUGAAUAGUUUUUUCUAUUGAUGAAUGAUGAGAACACUAUAUUAAAUUAAAAUUGAACUAUAUAUAGUUAGCGUUGCCUACUGAAUCUGCAUUUGAGUAAUUAUAUUGUUAGUUUGAUCAGUCCAUAUAUAUAAAUAAGUAUUUAUCCUUCGAUAUACCUUAUUAGGAUAUUUGCAUACCAAUGACUGUCAACUCAACAUAUAAGGGUAAGGAGAUGUUUGGCUACACUAUUAACUUAGGAAUAAAAUCUUUAAAUUGGAUGGAUAAAUAUUUUUUUCUCUCUCUCAAAGUGGGCAAAUAAAAAAUAAAUGAUUUUAGAAGCACACAGUGACGAAUAUAUAAGAGUUGAAAUUUAUUAUAUAUCCUGAAGACUUAUUCAUUGCAUUGGGGACUUGAACACUUUUGGUGUAAACCAUUUAAAAAAAAAAAAAAAAACCCAGUGGAACUGCUACUACUGGUACGGAUUUUAGGCUAAAACUUUCUGCACCCCUUCCAACACGGCAACACUCCUAUAACGUACGGAAAGAAUAAUCUGAUGUAUGCAGCAAGAAAUGUCCUGGAUUUUAGUGUCCACAUGUUUGAAUAUUAAUGACUGUGGAGUUCACUUGCAAGUUGCAACAUAUAUAUCUUGCAUGGUCCAACCGUCCAAGUGAAGAAACUUGUAAAAUAUGAACAUGGUUCUUCUGAACUGUUGCAAUUUACGAAUGCAAACGGUGAACUCAUUUUCAGGCUUCCGCAUCUAUAUAUUGUUAAGUAAUAUUUUGUCACGUAGAUUUUAAUUUUAUUACUACUAUUUAACAACAACUAUUUUCCCUGCAUCAUUAACUAAUAUUUCUUAAAUUUUUGUUAUUAUAAUCUAUUAUGUUUAUUAUUUUUAUCUCUUUCCUAAAUGCUUCUCAUUUUUUUCUUUUCAUUAUCAUAUUGCAAAUUACAUUUAUUAUUUUUUCUUCUCUCCUAAAAUAUGUAGAUGAUAAUUACAAGUUCACAACAAUAAUGUGCAUAGCUAGAUCCCAACAUUUUCUGUUCUAACUUAAAUUUGUUUUUUUAUUAAGUUAGAACCGAGUUUAUUCAGAUAAUUAAAAAGAAAUUAUCAAUAAUUCAAAAUAAUAAUAUAUCAUAAUAUAAAUUAUUUAUCAUAAAUCUAAAAUAUAGUUUAUAUGUUAAAGAAUUAUUUAUUACAGAUUUUAAUUAUAUUAUAAUUUUUAUAUUUACAUAUAUUUAUUUAUGUGCAAUACAUAUACAUAUGGUAAAAUACUAGUUGAUUGUUAAACUAGCUGGAACUGGAAAGGGUAAAAUAAAAUAAAAAUAUUUAUAUAGUUUUUAUAUACAUUAUAAUUUUUAGAUAAAAACAUUCUUUGAUCGUUAUAACUUUCCAAAUUUUAAAUUCUUAUCAUUUUUUUUCCUUUUAACUUCAAAUUCACUUAUCCACCCUAAAAUUUGGGUUCGGCAUUUGACUUUUUCCUUAUGUAAUCCAAGAAGUUUAGUGUUCCUUGGAUACUAUUGCUUACUGUUUCUUGCAUACUAUUGCGAUUGUCCAUAUUCACAUUAUCUUUGAGUUCUCAAAAUUAACUUACCUUAUUUUAAGUAGAAUCAUUUUGAAAGAAUUAAAAAAUUUAAAUUCAUAAUUAAUAGAAUUAAUGUAAAUGUGAGGUCGAUUAUACAAUUUUAAAAACAUAUUUAUUAAAAUAAUAUUUUUCUUCUAAAUUAAACUUAUUUAACACACCAUUUUAAAUAUAAAUGAAUUUGUAAAAUAUUAGUAUUCUUUCAAAAUUAAUUCUAAAAAAAAUAAUAACUAGUUAAUCAAUGCAUACUUUAGGGGCAAGUUGGUCUCGAGGGAGAAAAUAUAUGUUAAGAAUCAGUCUAAACUAUUUCCCAACCACAAAAAUCAAGUGAAAUGCAUUAGCGUGAGACUUUUACGUUCCGCGUACAUGUUAGAAAAAUGAUAGUUGCAUAAAUCUGCUGGACCGUAUUCUCAGCUAAGUCAGAAGAAUUAUCAAACAAAAACCAUUUUUCUUGUUGACAAUUCAAUAUACGCAACAAUGAACUCAUUUUUCACUUUUGACAUCGAAAUCCAUGUUCAGGAUUUCAGGUAGACAUUUCACUCUUUCUAGCAAAUAAUAGUAAGUACAUUUUUACUUUUAUAUUAAAAACUAAUUUGAUUUGUAAAAGGAAAAAAAGUUAUAAGAAUUUUAUAUUAUUAUUAUUAUUAAAAUCGUGAACGGGUAUGGUAUUCCGGUGAAGAAAACUUCUUAAGGAAAUUAUGAACUUAGGUAAAUGAAUCAACCUUAUCACCAAUAGUAGAUUACUAGACACUUUAUUUAAUUUAAUAUAAAAUAUAUCAAAGUUAUUUAGCAGGAAAUAUAUAAAUGUCUUAAUUUUUUUAAUGUACGAGUGGUUAUCAUCCUUUCCAUGAGUAGAAAAAGUCUUAUGUAAUACUCAAUGCAAUAUUUAAAAUAUAUUAAAACGAUUAUUUAUUGUAUGUGAAUGAACAUUUAUUAUUUCAUGUUCAAAGCAUAUAUGCUUAUACCAGGAAGGAGGAGUUUAUUUUUGGAAGCAUAUUUUUAGAAAAACUAACCAAGUAGCUGACUAGUAUGCAUGAUUUAAAUCUACAGGGUCCUGGUUGAUCUUAAGUCGGAUAUACAUUUAAUUUUGUCUUUCCUCGUUGAUAUAAAUGACAAAUGACUUUGUAGUGGGUUUUCCCACCGUUUUUAAAAGGAAAAAAAAAAUUCAUAACAUUUUUUGUCGUUUAAAAACAAAAUAAGACUUUUUUUCACGUACAAACAUAUCUUUUUCGCUGUGAAACUGCGGUCAAACUGAGAUAUGAAAAACACAUUUUGGUUAUACAUGGCAGAAAAACUGUAUUCAUUUACUAUUUUUUUUUUAUUUUAUUUCUCUCUUGUAUAAAAAUUAGUGUACAAAAUAAUCCUUUUAAAAAGGAUUUGCAAUUAAAUAAAGAGAAAAGCAAAGAAGGAAGCAAAUGCCGUAAUGGUUCAUUACGUUGUUAUUGUAUUAAAAAGAGAGAGAGAGAGAGAGAGAGAGAGAGAAAAGACCAGCAUCGCAUGUGCUGCUAGAGCUGCAAGCAUUCGGACCAUUAUAAAUACAUGUCUUCAUAAGAAUUUUAUACCAUCACCAAACUAAAGGAGCAACUAUGGCCUUGUUCUCUCAUUUUCUUGUUCAUUUUGCCUUAUUACUCAUUUUCCUCCCUCUUGAGCUACACAACCUUUUGAUUGGUGUAUCAUCAGCCACUUUAAGCAUCACCACAGACAGAGAAGCCUUGAUCUCAUUUAAGUCUCAACUGAGUAAUGAGACUCUUAGCCCUUUAUCUUCUUGGAACCAUAAUUCAUCUCCUUGCAAUUGGACUGGUGUUCUAUGUGACAGGCUUGGCCAAAGAGUAACUGGCUUGGAUCUUUCAGGCUUUGGACUCUCAGGUCACUUAAGCCCUUAUGUUGGUAACCUUUCCUCUCUUCAGUCUCUCCAAUUGCAGAAUAACCAAUUCAGAGGAGUGAUUCCUGACCAAAUUGGCAACCUAUUAAGUCUUAAAGUUCUAAAUAUGAGCUCUAACAUGUUAGAAGGAAAGCUUCCUUCAAACAUCACCCACUUGAAUGAGCUUCAGGUUCUUGAUUUAUCCUCAAACAAGAUUGUCAGCAAGAUUCCUGAAGACAUCAGCAGCUUGCAAAAGCUUCAGGCUUUGAAACUAGGAAGGAACAGCCUCUAUGGUGCAAUACCAGCUUCUCUAGGAAACAUUUCUUCUCUAAAAAAUAUCAGUUUUGGCACCAACUUUCUCACUGGCUGGAUUCCCAGUGAAUUGGGUAGGCUCCAUGAUUUGAUUGAGCUUGAUCUCAUUCUCAACAAUCUCAAUGGGACUGUUCCACCUGCUAUAUUCAACUUAUCUUCCCUUGUCAACUUUGCCUUAGCUUCAAACUCUUUCUGGGGUGAGAUUCCUCAGGAUGUUGGUCACAAACUUCCAAAACUCAUAGUGUUCAAUAUAUGCUUCAAUUAUUUCACAGGUGGAAUUCCAGGGUCUUUGCACAACCUCACCAACAUUCAGGUCAUUCGUAUGGCUUCCAACCAUUUGGAAGGAACAGUGCCACCGGGUUUGGGAAAUCUCCCAUUUCUUAAAAUGUAUAAUAUUGGUUAUAACAGGAUAGUUAGUUCAGGAGUAAGAGGUUUAGACUUCAUUACUUCUUUGACAAACAGCACUCACCUGAACUUUCUAGCAAUUGAUGGAAAUAUGCUGGAAGGUGUGAUUCCAGAAACCAUUGGCAAUCUCUCCAAGGAUCUCUCAACACUAUACAUGGGACAGAAUCGUUUCAAUGGAAGCAUACCCUCCUCCAUUGGUCGUCUC
rnacentral:lncRNA from 1 species